ACGUAUUUGAUAUUCUCGACUCUCUUAGGACAGGAUACCAAAUUGAGAGGGCGAGAGAUGGCGAGAACCUCCUCCUCUCGGUCAACGACCGGAACCCUAACCCUGACGAUCGAAGAGCCGUCCCAUUCUUCUGUGGUUCCUUCCUCUUCUCAGCAAUCGCAGCCGCCGGAAACCCUAGUUCUCCGCCUCAAGCGGCCCAAGAAGGUCUCCUGGAAGGAAGGAACGGUCGACAACGAGUUCCUCAAUCGCAAGAGUUCCAAGAAGUGCUGCAUCUUCCACAAGCAGAAGCCCUUCGACGAGGACGAUAGCGACGAGGAGGACUGCGGUGAUAAGCCCGCCGGCGACUCGGCUGGACCAAGCCGUUGCUGCUCCCACGGUCAUGACCACUGAUGACUUCCUUCCUCCUGCAUCAUGAGCUUUACAGAUGGAUGACUUUACAACUGCAUUGAUGAGAUGCCCCAUUCCGAGCUACAAUCUAUCGUUGGUGAAAUAUGUUUUUUUUUUUUUUUUUGUGUGUGUGGAAGAAUCAAUACAGUGUUCUAAAUAUAUACUUCAAACCUUGAAUUAUUUGUUUUGCAGUACAUGCUAAGUUGAAAUGGCACCAUUAGUUAAGCA